rnacentral:rRNA from 1 species
UUCUUUAAGAAAUAAUUUAAAGUAACACCUGCUCAAUGUCAAGAAUAAAUAGCCGCAGAAUCCCUGUGCUAAGGUAGCAUAAUAAUUUGCUUCUUAAUUAGAAGAUAGAAUGAAAGGUUACACAUUUAAUACUUGUAUCUUCUGAUCAUUAACUAAAUUAAGUAUAAAGUUAAAACUCUUUUACUAUUCGUGGGACGACAAGACCCUAAUAAACUUAUUAAUUAGUUGGGGAAACACAAUAAUAAAUAUUUAUAUAUAAUCAUAACAAACCUUUAAUAUAAAAUAUAGACCAGUUACUAUAGGGAUAACAGCGUUAUUUUUCUUAAGAGUCCUUAUCUAAAGAAAAGAUUACGACCUCGAUGUUGAAUUAGUUUUCCUAUUAAAUGGCGCAAAAGCUAAAUAAGGUAGUCUGUUCGACUAUUAAAAAACU